UUUCUCUUUCCUCUUCUUCUUUUUCUAUUCUUUUUCUCUCUAUGACCUGCAGACCCCACCUCCCGUCUCCUUCCUCGCGACGGCCUCCGCCGCCGCCACCGACUCGAACUCCCGGAGCUCCCCUGGUACGAAACCCACAAGACCCCUGACUCGAGCCACUCGAGCGCGCUGAUUUCCGCCCGUCUCGGUGACUCCAUCGACGAAUUUCUUCGCCAAACGGACGCGCUAUUCGAGCCCCACCACGCUCCGGCCGAGCUCUAUCACCGCAAGACGGAGCCCCCACAUCAUCAAGGAGGAUCCCUUAGAGAUUGCUGAGGCACGAUGCACCUCGUAGACUACUACCCGGAGCAAGAAGACCCCAGGAACCGCCUUCGUACCCAUCUAUUCCGGUGAUCUCCGCUGCCUAACCCAGAUCGAUCCAUGUUACUGCAUUUUGAGAUGGCAUAUGUGACAUGGCUGAUGGAUCAAUCCCAAGAGAUUUUGUUUUUCAUGUUGGCUCACCUUCUCACAGGCGUGUACAUCCGUGAGUGAAUUUUGUUAUUUAGAACAAAAUCUGAGAGUUGACCAAAUGACAUUGGUGUUUUUUGUGAACUAAAUGACUCAAAUAUACAUACUGCCUCGCCGUCACUCUGUUGCCUGUCCCAAUCUCAUGUGCUCCUGAAGCUAGCUGCCGUGUGUUAUGUGUGCAUGCUGUACAUUGAAUUGUUCGUGGAAAAAGACACAACAAUUGAUCAUACAAUCUAGCUGUAACGACAAAAUCUCAUACUAUUGCACAAGUGUUGUUAUUUUAAAUUUUAUAACGGCAUGUGCCUUGACUUGACUUUGAACCUUUUCUUUCUUUCUUUCAGUGAUUGCCUUUUGUCCAAAUACCACAGAAGUACACAUUUAUAGUUUUAAGUCAGUAUGUGUUAGAUUAACUUGUUUUUUAUCGUUAUAUCUUGUAGCAUGAUCAAAUAGUGUCCGUAAAAGAUUGGGGUAGAUUUUCCAACAAAAUUGUGACAGUUUCACAUGAUCGAAAUUUGUAAGUGUAUGAGCAUAAUUUCCAAUGUUCAAGUGAAUAGUGUGUUUCUUAGUCCAAAGAAGAUAAUUGCAUUUCUUUCCUUUUACUCCUUUAUCGACCUGCAGAUAUGUUUGGAUACAAGGACUAGAUUGGGUACCUACCCUUCUUAUUCUCAAGCUAAAUUGUGCAGAUUUAAGUGUCCAGUGGAGCCCAAAAGGUUCUCUGAAUAGCCUGUCCUUGUACUUCUAUUACAAACACAUUAUGAGUAUCUAUUUCGUUGUUUAUUUCACACAACCUCUUUUUUUGUUCUUGUUCUUACUUGGUUAUUGACACUAGGCUCUCAUGGUAGAACAUAGCUGCACAUUGACUAUUUGGGAACCAACCAUAUGUGGAACAUAUCUAGCUGGAUAUUGUGCACCCUUUAAAUUCCUUUCUACUGUUUGUAGAAAAUAAGUUUGCUGUGGGAAGUGGCGCCAAUUCUGUAUGCAUUUGCUACUAUGAACAAAAGAAAAACUGAUAUUUGUUGCUGCCACUUCCAUUAGUCGUCUACUUGUUUUGAUUAACUUCUAUUUUGAUUAAUAAUGCGAAGUGCACUAAUUACCAAGACUAUGAGUGUUUUCUUGUGUUCACGCAAUUAUGGAAGUGCACUAAUUAUUGAACUUUUAUUCUUUAAACUGCAUCGAUUUUUUUUUUGGCCUAAAAGACGUGUUUCAUUAACAUCAUGUGACUCCAAAAAGACCGCACCAAAGAUUACAACCCUCGGAAAUACAAAAGGGCAAAAUAAAAGCAGCCCUUUACAGAGACGUGGCCGAUGCUACCGAAGGGAAUAGCCACCAUGCUAGGGUUUGGACUCUAAUAGAUGGUCACAAUUUGGUUAACAAGGUGCUAUGGGUCGAUGGAUUGCUAUAGAUCCUGUGAUGGGCUGGUUCAUGUGAAUUUGUCUCAUAAUUGGGCAAUUGGUCCUCUGGUUGAUACUGCUCGUACUGCUCUAAUCAGGUUGGUUAUGUUGCUCUUCUGGGUUUAGGAUGUCUAGCUGAGCCAUUGAGCCAGUUGCCAUUGCUCUAAUCAUAUUAGACAUAUAACAUAAUUACGAGCAAUUCUCUUCUGAUGUAGGUGGUCUGUGUUCAUCUCUAGCCCAUGUGUGUGUGAUGUGCUCAUGUGAGCAGGACAUUAUCAAGUGUAUGUGUGUUGCAAAUGUGCCCUGCACAUUAGCAGAUCAUGUUGAUGUACAUGACUUCAGUUCUUAUAAGCUGAUUUUCUUAUCUCUGCUAAGGAAUUCUUCUUGUACGUGUUUCAGCUUUUGAUGUUCUGCGCACUGACCGAUCGAUGCCCUUCUAUGAGAAGAAAGAAAAACGACCCAUUCCUAGUUGUGUACGAGUGUAUUGACAAACAAGUUGGUUAUUGUCAAGGAUUCGAUUUGGUACAACAUCAUCACCGAUGCAGACAAGAAGUGCUUCAUCGUGCCAGGCACCUUGGCGUUGCUUUCGUCUGACGGCGACCGCGGCUACAGAAACAAUCACAAUGAACUCCUCUCGUUGCCUCCGGUGCUUGCUCUGUGCUCGCUGUAGCCAUCAUGCCAUGGCUGUCUGGUAUCAUCCAUGCUCGACAUCGCCUCCUUGAUGCUUUGCGGCCUCCGGACAGUUCUCAUCCGCGACCCCGGUCUCCUCGACGAACCCUUGUUGCCGCUGUCCUCCUUCCUUUCUUGACGGUGUCCUGUCAUCUUCCUCCCCUCAGGCGCCAAAGGUCCCCCAACGGCAAAACGGAUGAUUAGUCAGAGGACUCACAUGACCAUGUUUACACGGACGAGUUCUUCCAGCAAGCUCUUCAAUUGUGAUGAUUUGCAACAACACCAGAGGCUGGGAAGCACACCUGAACAAGGUCAGCCUUAUCACCUCGUUUCCUGGCCCUGCUCCCCAAUUUGAAGGCAAGGUCACAGAGCAACAGCACGUCCGGCUGCAUGAUUUAUGCUUUACAUGGUAUUUUAUGAUGUGCUAUGGAAGCACAGGAAUUUGUUACCUAGAUGAUCUUUUUCUCUAGCAAGAGCUUUUAAUUCCAAGGUUGAGCAGCUCAAGACUUGGCACAUGAGAGUGUAACGGUUAGUUUCUCAAUACUUGUUUGUUAGCAGUCCAUUCUUCAAUAAUAAUUUAUGAAAGGAUCUAAAAAACAUUUUCCAAAUGAUUUGUAUUCCAUAUCCUGACUUUAAGAGGUCACUUUAGAUGGAGUACAACAUUAUUAUACUUCCAUUUUUUUUUUGCUAGACCAAGAGGCUCUUCACUUUUCAUCUUUGUAACUGCAAUGGAAAGCUUAUGAACGUUACUUUGCAAUAUAUUUAUGUUUGAUUAGAUGAUUUUUUGGUUUACUGAUACAUUUUGGCAAUCUAAUGUUUCAGGUCUCACCGGCCAUGUUAAGUUGGAGUAUGAUGUACCACCCUUUGUUGACCAUAAACUUGCAAUGUAAGGAUACCGUACCAGCAAAUUGGAUUACAUGGUGAUAUGAUUAUUUUGUAAAACUUGCACAUGGCAUUUCCGAGGCGUGUUUUCCUGUGACAGUAUUUCUAUGACUUGAGGAUGUGAUUGAUGUAAUGGUCCAGUUAUGAUGGAUACUUGUGUUCGAACAUUAGACCGUUGUUUUCUCUAUUUCUAUAGUAAUGUGCUUCAAGGUCACACUUUGGUGAACUGCAAA